rnacentral:rRNA from 1 species
UACGGAGGGGGCUAGCGUUGUUCGGAAUUACUGGGCGUAAAGCGCACGUAGGCGGCUUUGUAAGUUAGAGGUGAAAGCCUGGAGCUCAACUCCAGAAUUGCCUUUAAAACUGCAGCGCUUGAGUCCAGGAGAGGUGAGUGGAAUUCCGAGUGUAGAGGUGAAAUUCGUAGAUAUUCGGAAGAACACCAGUGGCGAAGGCGGCUCACUGGACCGGUACUGACGCUGAGGUACGAAAGCGUGGGGAGCAAACAGG